CUCAAAGGUAAAGCCGAGCCCUCAUUCAGACCAAAAAGAGUGAAGGAGACCGUUCCCUUUGUUUGCCGCUGAGAGGUUACAGAAUGGAGCCCCGCGUGGGCCAGUGGGAGCCCCAGAGGGUGGCCUGUCAGGCCAGUGGAAUGUCAGGGAAAUGAUCUUGUGCUUCCUGUUGGACUAAAGGUGGCUCGAUCCCGAUUUGAAGACUUCCCCUCUUUGCUUCUUUGGAUUGUGUUGAUGCCCAGAUAAUACCCAGGUACAUUUGUGGAGUGGGGAAGAGGUUUCCAAGCAACCCUGCAAGGCAGACUUGGUGUGGACGAAAAGACAACCCAAGAGAAAAGGACAGGAAUGUUUAUAUCAUGCCCUGGGCUGGGAGUGUCUCCAUCACUGGCUACAGCUAAAUGUGUUCCUUCAGGCAAUGGGCCAAGCCUGUGUGCUUGCCUGGCUGUUGUAAAGAAUCACAGCAAGGUCUCAGGGCUUGUAAUACCUUCUUCAAAGGGUUACUAUGAGGCAGUACAAUGAGACAAUAUACAUAAACAGCCUAGUACCCAGAACAUAGCAGGCACCUCACACAUGCUCUGUAUUAUUUUUUUGUAGGGAUUUAGAGCAUGUAUGCAAUUUAGAUAAAAGGCUUUUUUUUUUUAAUUUGGAAAAUCAUUAUGGUUAACAUUCUCCUAUUGGUUAUGCCAGCUAUUGUGAUGCCCCCAAAGGGUUAUUUUCCACCUCCUUUACACCUGUCUUCCUGAUAAACAGUGAAGAGCAUCUGACAACACUGAGGACCCAAUAGUACAAUGGAGUUACGUACACAAGUACUUAAGUUGCUUGUAGUCAGCUACACAUUCAACAAAAGAAAAUAAUGCCGAUGAAUAUAUACGUAUAUAUGUAAUUUUUCCCCCCAACAAUAUGGUCCUUCAGUUCAAGCCAACUACUUCAUCUGGUGCUCAACCAAAGAAGGAGCCAUGGCCAUCUGUUCUAACUCUGGGGCAAAACUGGCUGUGUUGAACUUACUGUGAGAUGGCACAGAAUACAUAAAACCAAGUAAUCUGUACUACAUGGAUGAUUUAAGAGAUUUUUAAUGGUAAUUUUUUAUUGAUAUGAUUUUUGCCCUAUGUGUUGACUUUUAGAACCCAAACUCCAAGCUUGGUACAACACCACUGCCACACACUGUAGUGUGUCAUUUCAAGUUGUCAGAUGCUAAGCAUGUAUGAAAAGUGACCCCCCAUCCUCACAAUACCCAGUAUUACUCUGAUAUUAAUUUGGAGACUGCUUAGGCAGCCUCAUAGCUGUGAAGACAUCUGCAUUACCAUGUUCCUGCCAGUAAAUUCCUUCUCUCAACACUGGCAUUAUUAAUAUUUUAAAUUAUUUAUUUAAAAAAUACUUACCAAAUGUCUACUACCUGCUAGGCCCUCACUUCAGCUCUAGGAAUACAGGAGUGAAUAAAACAGGCUUCCUCUGGCCUUGUGGAGUUCACAUUCUAGGUGGGGAACCAGAUACAUUGAUCAACUAUUCACACAAAUUCAUUCAGUCAGUCAUUCAUUCAACAAACAUGAAACUGAAGGGAUAGACGGUAAUUCUCCAGUGGUCUCUGGGAAGAGCUGGGGCAUUGAAGGCAAAGCACACAGGGUAAUCCUUGCUGUGGGUUGUCAACUGCUGUGGAACCUAUCGCUCCAAACCUAUUGGUCUUCUAUGAAGUCUACGAUGAUGUCAGUCUGUGUUCUCUUCAUCUACAAACAUUAGGCUAACCCACCACCGUGAUAGAUGUACUCUCAAUUGUAGUUGUUGUUUCCUACUAAGAUGAUAAAUUUGCACUGCUCUCAUCAGACUCCUCCAACUGAUCAUCUUUUGAACAAUGGAUGCAUUUAGAGAUGGCUGGCCAGGGUCAGGAGAGCAGUCUAUAGCCAUAAAAGAGAUAAAGCAGGGUCACCACAUUCUAGAAUUAUUAAAGCCCUCAUCUUGGUCUUAUCAGAAAGUGCUCUCACUAACUGAAUAAACUAAGCCUAGAUGAAGCUGAUAUUGUCAUCUGGGAGAUUCUUACUUUAACUAGGACAUUCUCCUUUU